UGUAUCAACUUGAUAGAGCUGGCUGCAGAAGGGAGCUCAGCAUACAUCCACUGGAUGAUCCAUUAUCAAGAUACCUAGAUAUGUGGCAUUGCUGCGUAUAUGCAGGUAUCAGACACUUAGGCAUGUAGCAUUGCUCUGUGUUUAGAGGCUAUCAAGACACCUAGGUAUGUUGCAUUGUUUUUUCUAUAGAGGCUAUCAAGACACCUUGAUGUGUUGUAUUGCUCUUUAUACAGAAGCUAUCAAGACACCUCAAUGUGUUGUAUUGCUCCCUAUAUAGAGGCUAUCAAGACACCUAGAUGUGUUGUUUUGCUCUUGUAUUGAAGCUAUCAAGGCACUUGAAUGCAUGGCAUUGCUCUUUAUACUGAAGCUAUAAAGACACCUAGAUGUGUUGUUUUGCUCUUGUAUUGAAGCUAUUAAGGCACUUUAAUGCAUGGCAUUGCUCUUUAUACAGAAGCUAUCAAGACAGCUGAAUGCGUGGCAUUGCUCUUUAUAUUGAAGCUAUAAAGACACCUACAUGUGUUGCUUUGCUCUUUAUAUUGAGGCUAUCAAGACACCUGAAUGCUUGGCAUUGCUCUUUAUAUUGAAGCUAUCAAGACACCAAGACGUGUUGCUUUGCUGUUUACACAGAAGGUAUCAAGAACCUGAAUGUGUGGUAUUCUGUAUACAGAAGGUAUCAAGACACCUGAAUGUGUAGUAUUCUGUAUACAGAAGGUAUCAAGACACCUGAAUGUGUGGUAUUCUGUAUACAGAAGGUAUCAAGACACCUGAAUGUGUGGUAUUCUGUAUACAGAAGGUAUCAAGAUACCUGAAUGUGUGGUAUUGUUCUGCAUACAGUGGGUAUCAAGACACCUGAAUGUGUGGUAUUCUGUAUACAGAAGGUAUCAAGACACCUGAAUGUGUGGUAUUCUGUAUACAGAAGGUAUCAAGACACCUGAAUGUGUGGUAUUCUGUAUACAGAAGGUAUCAAGAACCUAAAUGUGUGGUAUUCUGUAUACAGAAGGUAUCAAGAACCUAAAUGUGUGGUAUUCUGUAUACAGAAGGUAUCAAGACACCUGAAUGUGUUGUAUUGUUCUGUAUACAGAAGGUAUCAAGACACCUAAAUGUGUGGUAUUGUUCUGUAUACAGAAGGUAUCAAGAACCUAAAUGUGUGGUAUUCUGUAUACAGAGGGUAUCAAGACACCUGAAUGUGUGGUAUUGUUCUGUAUACAGAAGGUAUCAAGAACCUAAAUGUGUGGUAUUCUGUAUACAGAAGGUAUCAAGACCCCUGAAUGUGUGGUAUUGUUCUGUAUACAGAAGGUAUCAAGACCCCUGAAUGUGUGGUAUUGUUCUGUAUACAGAAGGUAUCAAGACACCUGAAUGUGUGGUAUUGUUCUGUAUACAGAAGGUAUCAAGACACCUGAAUGUAUUGCAUUGCUCUGCAUGUACAUAGAGGUUACCAAGACUCCUAGAUGUGUUGCAUUGCUCUAUAUACAGAGGUUAUCCAGAUUCGUGGCAAGGCUCUGUAGUGGUCAGUUGUUGGUGCUGAAGUCUGGGAUGUGAACUUUGGUAAUGAAAGUGUUGCUCUUUUCACCUGUUAUGAACCUUCUGGCAGAUAUUAAUCACGAUAAACGAAGAACCUUAUCAUGACACCGUAGAUCAUUAGAACCCUGCUAUCAUAUAUUUAUGCAAUAAUCUGACUCUGGAUGAUUCAUCCCAGAGAUAGCCAGCUGAAGGUGCAGGGGACCUCAUUGAAGAGGUCCAGGAGGUUUGUUCUGGACACUCUCAAUGACGAUCAUUUAACUUGUCAGGACAAGGACCAUUUGGUUCAUGUUGCACUUUGAAAAUCUAAAACCACUGUGUAACGUAUCAAAGACUGGAUCUGAUGGAUUUUUCUACCUUCAGCGUGACUGACUUACAGAGUGUCUCUCAUCAUGGAGUACUUCAAGACUUUCUUGAGAGGCAUUUAGAGUAUUUCAUUAUACUUCAAGACUGUGGAUGAGGUUUUGGUCUUCAUUCAUAGUUGUACACCAGCCAACUUUACCUCAGGUGUGCUGUCCAGCCUUGUGUCCAUCGUGCAAUGUAAAUAUUGUAUUAAGGCUAGCUUGUGUGUGAUACAGUCACUCUAUAUACAGGCUUGGUGGUGUGAGAUAGUGUAAUCUUAAACUCCUAAUUAUCUACCAUCUAGGUAGUAAGUUAUGCUUCAUUUCCUAUAAUCAUUUAGUUCUGAGUUGACAUACAACUUGUUUUCAUUCAUGAUUGAAGAAGAUGUAAAGUGUUACUGGUUGGUUUAACGGAUUGUACUAAAGGUUGAUUCAGCUGACAUUGUACAGGUUAAUUGUAUUAGGUUGACUAUCCUUUAGCUAUUUUUUGUACAAUAAUGUUAUUUGUACAAAUGGGUUUUAUGAACAUAUGCUUUACAUGAAGAUAUGACACUGUUUGAUUGACCUGGAUGUUAAUGAGUAUGCUUGAGGUAAACAUACUGAUAUUUUGUUGCUGACAAAAUUAAAACUCACUCUGAGGAUGAAAGUAAGCUGUUUCCUACUUUCCCUUUGGAAGAGGUUAUCAAAGAAUUGUACAUGACUUGUGUCACUAUUCAACUUUAGAAUGAUUUCAGAGGAGUUCGUAUAUAACUUUUUAAAAAUAGUUCUCUUGAAAUGACAAUCAACAUUUGAGUGCAACAGAUGCAUCUUCAUCAAUAAAAUGACAUUAAGAUAUGAUAUAUCUAGAACUUAUUGUAGCAGUUAUGAAAUGUCAGAAUCAAGAAAUUUCUUGGGUACUUGAAAUCUCUGAAGAUAUUUCAAUUAUAAAGAAUUGGAAUAUAAAAAUAGCAGUAGUGACAAAGACUUCAUAAAGAGGAACAAAUUUUAUGGAUUGACUUCUUUAUUAAAAUAGAUGCGAUGAAACGUUGUACCAGGUUCAGCCAGUUAAAGAAGAAAAGACUUGACAUUCAUGUUUAAUUUUAAAAUCUGUAAACAGUAAUUUCAAAAAUUGUCCUUUGAUUGACAGUUAUGAUGGAGGGUUUUUUGUGACCUGCCUUGUUAUGUUGAUCCUUGUAGAGCUAUGUGCUGCUCACAAAACUCCCCAGCUGUGUUUCCCGUUACACUGCACUAUUUUUACCAGCGGAGGGUGACGUGGCUGUACACGUCUGUGAUAUAUGCUGUUAAUAGCUGUGUGUCGUGUCAGUGUCACUCAGCAUCAGGUCCAGUGUGACAGUUAGCCCCAGUGAUAUUAACAAGUUUUUAUCUGACGUGUGUCUUAAAGCAGUGGGCAAUUCAUGAUUUGAGCUUAAUUUCAAUUUGACAAAUUUUGAUUGACAUUUCUGUCAACCUUAGAAUCAUUUAUACAUACAACAUAAUUAUGUAUGAUAUAAUAUAUAAUAUACUUUUGUAUAUAUUUAAUUAUUAAAUAAAAAACUAAAAAAUAUUUAAUUUAAUGAUCCAAAUUAUUUGUUUAAAUUUACAUAGUUGUUAAAAUACUGAUCAUGAAGAGGUAUUUUGCGAUAUUGAAGAAACCUCAUAAAAUUCUGUUAAUUAGUGAAAAUUCUAUAUGAUCUAAACUGACACAGAUUAUAUGCUGUCUGAUGUUCUUACCAUGAGUGUCUUUUAGAAUGAAUAUUGAUUU